AUGCAAGUCGACCGGUAACAUUUCUAGCUUGCUAGAAGAUGACGAGCGGCGGACGGGUGAGUAACGCGUAGGAAUCUGCCUAGUAGUGGGGGACAACAUGUGGAAACGCAUGCUAAUACCGCAUACGCCCUACGGGGGAAAGGAGGGGAUCUUCGGACCUUUCGCUAUUAGAUGAGCCUGCGUGGGAUUAGCUAGUUGGUGGGGUAAAGGCCUACCAAGGCGACGAUCUCUAGCUGGUCUGAGAGGAUGAUCAGCCACACUGGGACUGAGACACGGCCCAGACUCCUACGGGAGGCAGCAGUGGGGAAUAUUGGACAAUGGGCGCAAGCCUGAUCCAGCCAUGCCGCGUGUGUGAAGAAGGCCUUAGGGUUGUAAAGCACUUUCAGGAGUGAGGAAGGGUGUACGGUUAAUACCCGUAUAUUUUGACGUUAACUCCAGAAGAAGCACCGGCUAACUCUGUGCCAGCAGCCGCGGUAAUACAGAGGGUGCGAGCGUUAAUCGGAAUUACUGCGCGUAAAGCGCGCG
rnacentral:rRNA from 1 species